GACGAACGCUGGCGGCGUGCCUAAUACAUGCAAGUUGAGCGCUGAAGGUUGGUACUUGUACCAACUGGAUGAGCAGCGAACGGGUGAGUAACGCGUGGGGAAUCUGCCUUUGAGCGGGGGACAACAUUUGGAAACGAAUGCUAAUACCGCAUAAAAACUUUAAACACAAGUUUUAAGUUUGAAAGAUGCAAUUGCAUCACUCAAAGAUGAUCCCGCGUUGUAUUAGCUAGUUGGUGAGGUAAAGGCUCACCAAGGCGAUGAUACAUAGCCGACCUGAGAGGGUGAUCGGCCACAUUGGGACUGAGACACGGCCCAAACCCCUACGGGAGGCAGCAGUAGGGAAUCUUCGGCAAUGGACGAAAGUCUGACCGGGCAACGCCGCGUGAGUGAAGAAGGUUUUCGGAUCGUAAAACUCUGUUGGUAGAGAAGAACGUUGGUGAGAGUGGAAAGCUCAUCAAGUGACGGUAACUACCCAGAAAGGGACGGCUAACUACGUG
rnacentral:rRNA from 1 species